rnacentral:lncRNA from 1 species
GGAUAAUAACUGGAAUUUUUAAUGAAACGUUUUCGGUUAGUAUACAACCAUCUGAAGAUGGUUGUUUUCCAACCGAAAACGGUAUACGACCAUCUGAAGAUAGUAUACCGUUACAACGGUAUACAACCAGACCGUUGUAUACCGUUCCGAAAACGAUACACAACCAUCUUCUUGAUGGCUGUAUAUCAAUCGAAAACGUUCCGAUACAACCACAACUGUAUACAACCAUUUUCAGAUGAUUGUUUCCGAAGAUGGCUGUGUUUUUGGAACUGGUUGUAUACCGUUGUAUUGGUAUAACAUCUUCAACGUCUGGUUGUAACGGUAUACUAUCUACAGAUGAUUGUAUACCGUUUUCGGUUGGAAUACAACCAUCUUUUCAGAUGGUUGUAUUCCAACCGAACAACCAGACCGUAACAACGGUCUGGUUGUAUACCGUUGUAGAGGUAUACCAUCUUCAGAUGGUUGUAUUCCAAACGAAAACGGUAUACAACCAUCUGAAAGAUGGUAUACCGCUACAACAGUCCCCCGUUACAAACCGUAACCAGAUCGUUGUAGC